UAUUUUUAGGCCCUGGGAGAGUCCGCUGUAAAGGUCCCGCGCAGCGGAGGGGCCGCAGACGUGGCACCGCGGCUCGGCAGCCCGCGCGCAGCAUCCUCCCAGCCACUUCCUUGAAUUGUGACCUUCCAAAUGAAGAGCAAGAUGGGGUGAGAACAAGCAGUGUCUUGGAGAAAUCCAGUCCUAACAUCUGAGGAAUGGAAUUAAUAGGAAACAUCAAUAACUCUGGUCUCUUAAAUUGGUCAGAAUAUUGGCCUGAAAUUAGGAAAAGUUAUAAUCCUAAAACAUGGCCUUACUACAUUUGAACCUAGGUUCUGGAUUUUUUUAAUUUAAUAAAUAAUAAAAAUAUUAGCAUGUUUUGUA